rnacentral:sRNA from 1 species
AUUAUAAUAAUACAUAGAUACAUUUUUUCCAGAAGUUUCCAGUCCAAGACAUUCUUAUUUGGAAGUGAAACAGAUUAAGAAACAAGAAAGUAAAGAGUGCGCUCCAGAACUCUACAUGUCACUGUGACAUUACCAUUAAGAUUAAGAAACAAGAAAGUAAAGAGGGCGCUCCAGAACUCUACAUGUCACUGUGACAUUACCAUUAAGAAGUUUCCAGUCCAAGACAUUCUUAUUUGGAAGUGAAACAGGCCAUAAUGACAAGAUAAGAGAAAAUUUAUGGAUAGUGAAAUUCAUCAAUCAAUUGAACUUUAAUUUCCUGGAUAUUUGACAUGUUGCUUAUAAAUGUAUCAGUAUUAUUGUCUAAAGAUAUUAAAUUGAUAACAACCAA